rnacentral:rRNA from 1 species
CGGGUGAGUAACGCGUGGAUAAUCUGCCCGAGGAUUUGGGAUAACAUCUCGAAAGGGGUGCUAAUACCGAAUAAGCCCACGGGGUCUACGGAUCUUGCGGGAAAAGGGGGGGACUUUCGGGCCUCCUGUCUUCGGAUGAGUCCGCGUACCAUUAGCUAGUUGGUGGGGUAAUGGCCUACCAAGGCGACGAUGGUUAGCUGGUCUGAGAGGAUGAUCAGCCACACUGGAACUGAGACACGGUCCAGACUCCUACGGGAGGCAGCAGUGGGGAAUUUUGCGCAAUGGGGGAAACCCUGACGCAGCAACGCCGCGUGGGUGAUGAAGGCCUUCGGGUCGUAAAGCCCUGUCGGGAGGAAAGAAAUGAUUGAGGGCUAAUACCUCUUGAUCUUGACGGUACCUCCGAAGGAAGCACCGGCUAACUCUGUGCCAGCAGCCGCGGUAAUACGGAGGGUGCAAGCGUUGUUCGGAAUUAUUGGGCGUAAAGCGCGUGUAGGCGGUCUUUUAAGUCUGAUGUGAAAGCCCCGGGCUCAACCUGGGAAGUGCAUUGGAAACUGGGAGACUUGAGUACGGGAGAGGAGAGUGGAAUUCCUAGUGUAGGAGUGAAAUCCGUAGAUAUUAGGAGGAACACCGGUGGCGAAGGCGGCUCUCUGGACCGAUACUGACGCUGAGACGCGAAAGCGUGGGUAGCAAACAGGAUUAGAUACCCUGGUAGUCCACGCCGUAAACGAUGAGUACUAGGUGUUGCG